GAAGGACUCUGCUACUUUUGUGCAAAGGUGGUUCUCAAGCAGGAGGAAGAACCAAAAAUAGAAGUGUGUUGCUGUGGAUGGUGCUAAGUGCCGGUGGGCUCGGCCUUCUUAUAAGUCUAAGUACCUCUUCUAUACUUCUUAUUGAGGAUGGUCACUUAAGCUAGCAGAUAUUUCAAACUUACAAGUAGUUUAUAACAUUUCAAAGUUUAUUUCUUUGAAUCACUUUGUAAUCACUCCGAUAAACAUAAUGUAAAUUUGAUGUAACUUGUAACCUUUUGUAAUAAAGAAAUUCCGCUGC
rnacentral:lncRNA from 1 species